AGGUGGUAAAUCCUGGCCAAGGCUCCUCGAGCCAGGCCGGCUGGCAGUGCUGCAUCGUGCUGAAGGCGCUGAGGUUGCAGCGGAUGCAUUCCGGGCCAGUGAUAUGAUGUGGACAGGAAAAGUCUUUUGUUCUGGGAAAAUGGAGGACUGAAACCUCUUCAUGUCUUUUUCCCAGGCCCUGAUUUAGGAAGACCAAAACAGGGACUUCUACAGUAGCAGCUUAAUCAGCAGAUGCUGGGUGGUCGCCUCUGCACAUGGCCUGGGGGGCGGGGCGCCUUACCGCGUCACACUGGGUGGAUGGGCCUGUGUGUGGCCUCUCUCCAGCUGUGGCUGACAGUACUCACUCAGCCCAGGCUUCCAGGCCCUCCUGGGCCCUCCUAUCCACUGAAGGAAAUGGGAGAUGAGUGGGUAAUGGAAAAGCCUUUGGAGUCAGAUGUAAAUCCAUGACUUGACCACUUAUUGCUGUGAGACCCUGGACAGCUGGAUAUAGAGUUCUUGUUCUAGCAUCCGCCCUGGGAAUCCCCGGAACUGGGCCUCUUACCGACACCAUUGCCUGUAAUCCACAAACCUAGGAGUUACUCCAGUUACUGUCCUACUGAAGGACCCCCAUCCCAUCUGGGCUACUAUAACCACAUGGACCAUCCCUUGCUUCAAUCAUAGAAUUCUUUCUUCAGAUCAAAGUAUAUUCAGACACUCGAUACAGUAACAAAAGCAAGCUAUCCUGGAAGGAAGAAGGAAUCAGGAGGCAGAGCACAUGGUUAAAGCAUGAGAUGUGAAACCAGGAAGAACCAGGUCUGAACCUUAGCUCCACCAGUGGUAGCUUCAAACCUUGGUCCUUUCUGAGCCUGCUUCUUCAACCGUAAGGGAACGCUACACUUCCUUAGAAAUUAAGAGUGUGUGCUACACUGCUUUACCAGAGCAAGGCCAAAAGCAGCUUCAAUUAUGGUACAACUGUGUGAAGACACAAUGCAAAACCACUCAAGAAUGCUCACUCAAAUGGAUUUUUACCAUGAUAAGCGACCAGAAAACAGUCCUCUCUGAAUCAGACAAACUUCAAGAGCUACAAGGGUUAUUAACACAUGAAGUAAAGAGUCAAACAGUAAUCUGCAGGAACUCGGAAACGGGACCCAGAAAGUUGUUUUCUCAAGUGGAUGGAACAACACAAGCAAUCAGUAUCCUGAAACAGGCCCUGUUCCAACAAACUGACCCAGAAAGCAAGUAUGAGGACUCCUGUUUCCCUACGUACUCACUACUACAGCAAAGAUAUCAAACAUUGAUACCCACCAAUCUCUGGAUGGAAAAACAAAUCUCAGGAAUCGCUUGCAGGAGGCUCUGCACGUUCCUCAGAUUCAGAGUCGCUGUCCUUUUGCCUGUGAAGCUCCUCACUUUCAGAGUCACUAGCAUUAAGAUUUAAGGGCUCAUCGUUCUCAGAGUCUGUCACAUGAUGUCCUUUGGGGAGGCCAUCUUCUCGAUCACUAGUUUCAUUCUGAAAAAUAAAGUGAGAAAAAAUUAGGAAAGUGCAAAAAAAAAAAAACCAUUAAU
rnacentral:lncRNA from 1 species